UAAGACGUAGGGGGCCAGCGUUGCUCGGAAUUACUGGGCGUAAAGGGUUCGUAGGCGGUGCGGCAAGUCGGGAGUGAAAUCUCUGGGCUUAACCCAGAGGCUGCUUCCGAAACUGCCGUGCUAGAGUGCGGGAGAGGCGAGUGGAAUUGCAGGUGUAGCGGUGAAAUGCGUAGAUAUCUGCAGGAACACCCGUGGCGAAGGCGGCUCGCUGGACCGCAACUGACGCUGAGGAACGAAAGCUAGGGGAGCAAACAGGAUUAGAUACCCUGGUAGUCCUAGCCCUAAACCAUCAGGACUUGGGGUGCAUCCCGUUCGGGGUGCGUCCCGUAGCUAACGCGUUAAGUCCUGCGCCUGGGGAGUACGGUCGCAAGGCUG
rnacentral:rRNA from 1 species